CUUAUAUUUGGCACCCCGAGGCCCCUCGCAAAGUCUCGCCCCAUUCCGAGUCCGGCGGACGAACUUCGCCCGCGCCCCCCACCUAGGCUAUAGCCCACCCGUUUUUUGGCCAUUUUUCCGCUGGGGGGUUUUGGCACCACGACCUUCGGGCACUUAUUUUUGGACGCGGCUGUGCCCGCGACUUCCCGCGGGCACCCCGAGGCCCCUCGCAAAGUCUCGCCCCAUUCCGAGUCCGGCGGACGAACUUCGCCCGCGCCCCCCACCAAGGCUAUAGCCCACCCGUUUUUUGGCCAUUUUUCCGCUGGGGAGUUUUGGCACCACGACCUUCGGGUGCUUAUUUUUGGGCGUGGCUUUGCCCGCGGCUUAUUUUUGGUGCCCCGAGGCCCCUCACAAAGUCUCGCCCCAUUCCGAGUCCGGCGGACGAAGUUCGCCCGCGCCCCCCACCAAGGCUAUAGACCACCCGUUUUUUGGCCAUUUUUCCGCUGGGGGGUUUUGGCACCACGACCUUCGGGCGCUUAUUUUUGGAUACGGCUGUGCCCGCGACUUCCCGCGGGCACCCCGAGGCCCCUCGCAAAGUCUCGCCCCAUUCCGAGUCCGGCGGACGAACUUCGCCCGCGCCCCCCACCAAGGCUAUAGCCCACCCGUUUUUUGGCCAUUUUUCCGCUGGGGGGUUUUGGCACCACGACCUUCGGGCGCUUAUUUUUGGACGCGGCUGUGCCCGCGACUUUCCGCGGGCACCUUGAGGCCCCUCGCAAAGUCUCGCCCCAUUCCGAGUCUGGCGGACGAACUUCGCCCGCGCCCCCCACCAAGGCUAUAGCCCACCCGUUUUUUGGUCAUUUUUCCGCUGGGGGGUUUUGGCACCACGACCUUCGGGCGCUUAUUUUUGGACACGGCUGUGCCCGCGACUUCCCGCGGGCACCCCGAGGCCCCUCGCAAAAUCUCGCCCCAUUCCGAGUCUGGCGGACGAACUUCGCCCGCUCCCCCCACCAAGGCUAUAGCCCACCCGUUUUUUGGCCAUUUUUCCGCUGGGGGGUUUUGGCACCACGACCUUCGGGCGCUUAUUUUUGGGCGCGGCUGUGCCCGCGACUUCCGCGGGCACCCCCGAGCCCCUCGCAAAGUCUCGCCCCAUUCCGAGUCCGGCGGACGAACUUU
rnacentral:lncRNA from 1 species